GGAAAAUUUAUGAUAUUUGUUCUAGAACAGUGGGGGGUAUAAAUAGUCCAGGGGUACGUUUUCGCUCAUAGUUGGUUCAUUUGGUCUAGAAGGAUUAUAUCCUGAGACCAUCAGAGAUGAAUCUUCAAAUUCUACUGUUCACCUGUUUGCUGGUCGUACUAAGUACGCAUGCAGCUCCACACGACAAAAAGAACUUACUUCAUGGCCUCGCAAAGUCGAAAGCAAGUCUAGUUGACAAGGUCGCAGGAAAAAAGGAACUCCUUCAUAAUGUAGCAGGUAAAAAGGACAUUCUUCACCAUGUUGUCAAGG
rnacentral:lncRNA from 1 species